UAAGUAAAGAUAAUAAGGGCGUACGGUGGAUGCCUUGGCGAUAUCAGCCGAAGAAGGACGCGGUAAGCUGCGAUAAGCUACGGAGAGAUGCAAGCAAUCUUUGACCCGUAGAUAUCCGAAUGGGGGAACCCGGCAGUGGUUAUGCACUGUCACCCAUAGCAUAGACUAUGAGGAGGGCACCCGGGGAACUGAAACAUCUAAUUACCCGGAGGAACAGUAAUCAAACGAGAUUUUCUUAGUAGCGGCGAGCGAACGGGAAAGAGGCCAAACCGGAGCGGGCAACCGCAC
rnacentral:rRNA from 1 species